rnacentral:rRNA from 1 species
GCGUCCCCAAGUCAGUUUGA